rnacentral:rRNA from 1 species
GACGAACCGUCCAAACGUUAUUCGGAAUCACUGGGCUUAAAGGGCGCGUAGGCGGCCGAGCGGGUCACGGGUGAAAUCCUCCAGCUUAACUGGAGAACUGCCCUCGAUACCACUGCGGCUCGAGGAAGGAAGGGGUCAUGGGAACUGUCGGUGGAGCGGUGAAAUGCGUUGAUAUCGACAGGAACGCCGGUGGCGAAAGCGCAUGACUGGUCCUUUUCUGACGCUGAGGCGCGAAAGCCAGGGGAGCAAACGGG